rnacentral:lncRNA from 1 species
AUGCCUAAAGUGCCACCCAAAAAAUUCAAGCAGACAGACCUUCUGAGCUCCUUUAAACAGUCUCCUAAAAAGCAGAUUGCCACAGACAGUGAACCUGGGGAGACGUCAGUUAGUGACAAUGUUCAGAAAAGGAUGGCUCGUUCACGUAAGACAGAAGCUGAAGAGGGACCCUCAAGUCUGCAGCAGGCACAAACUGACUGGCAGCUGCCAUUAGCGGAGCCUUUACCGAUUACUUCCAUUGAUCAAGCAUUUGCCGCGGUCGUCUGUGAGCAACAUCACCUCCCAAUACAAACAUGCCCCAUAGUAUAGUUCAACCCCUCACAUUGAUUGACAGCUUUCCAUGUAGACAUCAGAAAUUUCUAUGGCAAAAGGAAUUGCAAUUUCA